GACGAGGGGUCCUAGCGUUGUUCGGAAUUAUUGGGCGUAAAGCGUAUGUAGGUGGCUUUGUAAGUCAGGUGUGAAAGCCCUGGGCUCAACCCAGGAAGUGCAUUUGAUACUGCGAAGCUUGAGUGCUGGAGAGGAUAGUAGAAUUCCUGGUGUAGUGGUGAAAUACGUAGAUAUCAGGAGGAAUACCGGUGGCGAAGGCGGCUAUCUGGCCAUGCACUGACACUGAGAUGCGAAAGCGUGGGGAUCAAACAGG
rnacentral:rRNA from 1 species